AUACGGAGGGAGCAAGCGUUAUUCGGAAUCACUGGGCGUAAAGGACGCGUAGGCGGGUUUGUAAGUCAGGUGUGAAAUCCUACAGCUCAACUGUAGAACUGCACUUGAAACUACGGACCUAGAGUAUGGAAGGGGCAGAUGGAAUUAGUGGUGUAGGGGUAAAAUCCGUAGAUAUCACUAGGAAUACCGAAAGCGAAGGCGAUCUGCUGGGACAUUACUGACGCUGAGGCGUGAAAGCGUGGGGAGCAAACAGGAUUAGAAACCCCUGUAGUCC
rnacentral:rRNA from 1 species